CAUCUGGAAUCCAGGAUACUAAUGUCUACUCUAGGUCUCGUUCGUUUCUCCCAGGAUCCACCUAGAAAUCAUUCGAACUGGUCAAAGUUUACAUAAAUUCGGCAAACUGUGCGGCUAGGAAUCGUGCUAUGAGACCAUUACCUGGUAAUCGAACGAUCCCUAGAUUAGCCAUGUGUUUCUUCGAAGCCUCGGUCCAACUCAUACAACUCAAACGUGCCAGAUUUCACACGCGUAUACUGGUUCAGAACGUCGCUCUAGCAGUAGCUGUGUAUGACUUCCGCACUUUGGAGAACCAACCGACACGAAACGGACGGGGAAAUCGUGCCGCGUCAGACGAUGUAAUUUUCUAGUAAGCACUGGUGGACAACUUAAAAAAGAUACCUAUUAAGACUAGUUUCGGAACCUCAUUUUUUCCAGGAAUUUCCAUUUUCCCAAGUGAAACUAGUUCAUUUUCUCUUGUAAAAACAGAAAUCCCUUUAUAAAAUGGAGUUUU
rnacentral:lncRNA from 7 species